GCCAGGGUAGCUCAGCUAGUAGAGCACCGGAUUCAUAUCCCGGCGGUCGUGGGCGCGCACCCCACCCCUGGUA
rnacentral:tRNA from 1 species